AUGCUGUUUGUGGCACGCAGCCUUUUUCCAGGCGCCGCCCCUGCCACCGUCUCCACCUUGUACCUGUGCGGCAGCAGCUGGACAGCGCCAGCAUCGCGGCUCCCCAGCUGGGCAGACGAAAGCGCAUGCGCAGGCGGCCUGUCACAAGCGCCAGCGCUGAGCCUGGACUCGCGUCACAGUAACAGCCACCAGUUGCCUGGGGAACGAUCACAGUGGCUUCCCAAAGCAGCGGUCCUCUGUGGCAGUGCCUCAGCAUCGGGCAACGGACUCUUUCUCCGCGCGAUCAUCGCUGAGUCCUGCGAUUUUAGGAAUCCGGCAGGCCGAGCCAGGCAGAAGAAAGAUCUGUCGGGGCUUCAGGGAUGUCCACGGCGCUCCCCAGGAAUCACCAAGUUGCUGCAGACCUGCCCAAACAGUGUGAGGGUGCCUCUCGUUGAAAGCCCUCGUGGCUGGGAUUUCCAGGUGGCAGCCAGACCCCACUACACUGAGGCUUUGAACACCACCAGGAAAAAGAAGAAUGCAGGGCGCCGCAGCCCCAAACUGAGCCAAACGUUGAUCAGCAGCAGAAAGUCAAAGCAACCUGGAUGUAUUAUGCAAAUUUCAGGCUACAAUGGGCACAUCCUUCUCUUCCUGGAAGGCUGACUUUAAUUGUCCUGCACAAUCUGAAUACAGCAUAUUUUCUCUUUUCCUAUACUACGUAAGCCCUAAAUCUUGGGGUAACUGCCUGGAGAACUACUUAAGUUGCUACAAUUCAAGAUCAUGCUUCUGUUCAUAAAUUCCCCACAAUAAAUUACCAUUUACUGAAAAAUUGGAUUUGUCUGUCUCAUUCUUUGGUUUCUUGAUGCCUUCUGUGUUGGGGAAUCCCUUUGAAAAUAUGGCACUUUUUAUAUUACUAAUAUAAAGCAAGAUAUAUUAGUCCAUCCUCACACCACUAUAAAUAAAUACCUGGAACUGAGUUUCCUUGGCUCACAGUUCCACAGGCUGUACAGAAAGCAAAGUGCGUUCUGCUCAGCUUUGGGAGAGGCCUCAGGGAGCUGAAAAUCAUGUUGGAAAGGGAAGAGGAAACAGAGACAUCUUUUCUGGCUGGAGCAGGAGGAAGAGGGAGAAGGGAGAGGUGAGACACACAUUCAAACAACUAGAUCUUGUGAGAGCUCUCACUAUCACAAGAACAGCAUGGGAGCGAUGGUGCUGAACUACUCAUGAGAAACCACACCCAUUAUUCAAACACCUCCCACCAGGCCUCACCUCCAAUACUGCAGAUUAUUAUUAGAUUUGAGAUUCAGGUGUGGACACAGAUUCAAACUAUACAGUGGCUUGUGGGUAUGCCUGGAUUUUGGUAAUCACAGCUAUUGGCAAAACUUGUGUCUUACUUAACCCAUCAUGCCCAGGAAUGUUAUGGUGCCCCCUGGUCCCUGGACUUUCUGGGCCCUGGCCUAUCCUCUGGAUUGUAAAUGCUCUAAGAGUUCUGGGUAGGUUUCUGAAAAAUACUUAAGUCUGUGGAGAGUAAAAGAAUAUUAUCCAUACAGUGUUCCCAGAGAAUGAGGGGUACAUCACUCCAAAAUGUCUCACUUCACUCUAAAACAUGCCAGAGAGGUGGGCUGUUGGGCUGAGUAACUUUCACUGGGAACAACUAAAAGGUACACUGUUGUUCUUCUCAGCUGAAGGCAAAAAGGUCCUGGGACUUUGAGUCUAAACUUAUGCUGCAGAAAGCAUUUGCCAAUGGCAGGACUGUGCCAUAGACCUGAGCAACUACUUAGUUUUUCCAGGAUUUGAGCCAUUUGGGGGAUAGCAGCACACAUGGCCAGAGUCACCUUAUUCAGUUCCCAAUAAUCAAUGAUCAACCGUCAUAUUAUCCCAAUAAUCAACUAUCA
ensembl:lncRNA